CUGGGAUUGGUCCCUGUGCCAUUCCUGAACCAGGAACGCAGAAGGCAGCAGUGCAGUACCAGGUGAACAGUGUCAGGUUGUUCUGAGGACCGUGCAUGCUGAGAAAUACUGCAGAAGGAAUGGAGUGUGUUUUAUGAAAUGUCUCUAUCAUAUGGACUCUUUGAUGGCUAUAAAGAAAGCAAACUCAUAACUUUCCACACAGGAAGAAAGGAUGAUAAAUUCCCAUCUCUUCUGGCUCUCAUUUUGCCCUUUAGAAGAUGUGGUUACAAAAGACUGAGUCUACUCAGUUCCCAUGUGGCUGUGUGUGUGGAACCACCUGUUGAAAAGAGAA
rnacentral:lncRNA from 1 species